AUACGGACGCCUCCCCCUGCUCUAAUACAGUAACCUCAGGGCAAGAUGAUCGAGAGAUCUGAUUCUCUGUUUUUCCAUCAGUCCGCUCACUGUACACAUCGAUCUCUCUUUGCUCUAUGUGGAUCGGAUCAUAACAUGUUGAUUCUUCAUAGGUAUCUCGCCUUCUCCAAGUACAGAGGUCUUAAAGGACGUAAAUUUUCAGAGAAUUUCAGUUGAUGAUUAUGGAGAGCAUUGUCAUUGGAAGGAAGGGCCUUCUUUGUGUGCGUGUUGGGAAAGGCUCUACUGCAAAAUGAAGCUUUUUUUCAACAGCUUCUUUUACUACCCAAACCUUUUCGCUGCUGUUAACGAUGGUGGGGGAUCUGGCAACAAUUUUGCUAGUUUUGCCAGUUUUGCGGCACCACCACCCACCACCAAUCUGCGCGUUGGGACAUGGAGGCGCGGUGGUGUGAGGGCCUACUACCGUUUUCACGGCGGAAUUUGCGAUGGAUUUUGUGGAUUAGCUUUUCGUAAUACUGUAGACUACACCGUGGCUCGUCCGCUACAACUGUUUGAUGCUUUGGAUCCGAUUAACUUUCAGAUGACAAAUUGACAAUUGAUCAUGGUGGCUUUGUGAACAUUCCGAUGAUCGAACCAUCAUGUCUGCCGGAGGAGGCAAGCAGUGGAAUCGGCGUGUUCUUACCGGCAUAUCUGAGGAGGAUCCGUGGUAGAAAAGCAUGAUCUUGCAACAAGAUUUACCUCUUCUUGCUCAACUUUUUCAAAGAUUUGUAUUUCAAAGGCGCAGAGUUCUCUUCACCUAGCUUCAUUUGGGGAUGAAGAAGCUUUGAUCGGAGACGAUGAUGAAUUCAGCUCAAAAUCCAACUUCUUCUGCCAAUCAUCAGUGGAUCUAGGAAACCUGCAGAAGGAUUCUGGUUAGCGUCUCCUGGAUCUGAAGAUUCAUCAUCUUCAUCCACAUGCAUUGCUCGAACUGGAUCAACUUUCAUGCACCUCAAUAGAUGUUGUUUCCCCUACAUCAACCCUGUAGGGAAAGUGAAAUUGUGAAGGAGUUUUAGAUCGCUCCAUCCACAAGAUUUAAAUGUUGGAGAUAGUAUCUUCUGGGAGAUUUUUGUGCUUUGAAGAGCUGGGCUGAUUAUUCAACCUAGGAGUGCUUUGUAGCGUCUCCUGGAUUUAAAUGUUGUAGAUAAUGUUUUCAUUUUUGUUUACUUCUUCAUUGUUGUACGUUUUGUUGGUUCUCUUAGUAAGAUGUAUUGAUAA